AGAGUUUGAUCCUGGCUCAGGAUAAACGCUGGCGGCGUGCAUUAGACAUGCAAGUCGAACGAACGACCUCGGGCUUGCCCGGGGAAGUUAGUGGCGAACGGCUGAGUAACGCGUAGGUGACCUGCCCUGAAGUGGGGAAUAACUGCCCGAAAGGGUGGCUAAUACCGCAUACGGUCAUGAGUUCAGUCUCAUGACCAAAGCCUUUGGGCGCUUUUGGAGGGGCCUGCGUUCGAUUAGCUCGUUGGUGAGGUAACGGCUCACCAAGGCGACGAUCGAUAGGUGGUCUGAGAGGAUGAUCACCCAGACUGGGACUGAGACACGGCCCAGACAACUACGGUUGGCAGCAGUCGGGAAUUUUGCUCAAUGGGGGAAACCCUGAAGCAGCAACGCCGCGUGAGGGAUGAAGGCCUUCGGGUUGUAAACCUCUUUUCUCAGGGACGAUAAUGACGGUACCUGAGGAAUAAGCCACGGCUAACUACGUGCCAGCAGCCGCGGUAAUACGUAGGUGGCAAGCGUUGUCCGGAUUUACUGGGCGUAAAGAGCGCGCAGGCGGCCAGGUCAGUCGAAUGUGAAAGCCCCCGGCUCAACUGGGGAGGGUCGUUCGAUACUGCUUGGCUCGAAGAUAGGAGAGGGAAGUGGAAUUUCAGGUGUAGUGGUGAAAUGCGUAGAUAUCUGAAGGAACACCAGUGGCGAAGGCGACUUUCUGGCCUAUUCUUGACGCUGAGGCGCGAAAGCUAGGGGAGCGAACGGGAUUAGAUACCCCGGUAGUCCUAGCCGUAAACGAUGAACACUAGAUGUUGGUGGUAUCAACCCCGCCAGUGUCGCAGCUAACGCAUUAAGUGUUCCGCCUGGGGAGUACGGCCGCAAGGCUAAAACUUAAAGGAAUUGAUGG
rnacentral:rRNA from 1 species